rnacentral:misc_RNA from 1 species
GAUGAAGAACGCAGCGAAAUGCGAUAAGUAGUGUGAAUUGCAGAAUUCAGUGAAUCAUCGAAUCUUUGAACGCACAUUGCGCCCCUUGGUAUUCCAUGGGGCAUGCCUGUUCGAGCGUCAUUUGUACCUUCAAGCUCUGCUUGGUGUUGGGUGUUUGUCUCGCCUCUGCGUGUAGACUCGCCUCAAAACAAUUGGCAGCCGGCGUAUUGAUUUCGGAGCGCAGUACAUCUCGCGCUUUGCACUCAUAACGACGACGUCCAAAAGUACAUUUUGACACGCUUGACCUCGGAUCAGGUAGGGAUACCCGCUGAACUUAAGCAUAUAAAUAAGCGGAGGA